ACCUUUUGUAUAAUGGGUCAGCGACUUAUAUUCUGUAGCAAGGUUAACCGAAUAGGGGAGCCGAAGGGAAACCGAGUCUUAACUGGGCGUUAAGUUGCAGGGUAUAGACCCGAAACCCGGUGAUCUAGCCAUGGGCAGGUUGAAGGUUGGGUAACACUAACUGGAGGACCGAACCGACUAAUGUUGAAAAAUUAGCGGAUGACUUGUGGCUGGGGGUGAAAGGCCAAUCAAACCGGGAGAUAGCUGGUUCUCCCCGAAAGCUAUUUAGGUAGCGCCUCGUGAAUUCAUCUCCGGGGGUAGAGCACUGUUUCGGCAAGGGGGUCAUCCCGACUUACCAACCCGAUGCAAACUGCGAAUACCGGAGAAUGUUAUCACGGGAGACACACGGCGGGUGCUAACGUCCGUCGUGAAGAGGGAAACAACCCAGACCGCCAGCUAAGGUCCCAAAGUCAUGGUUAAGUGGGAAACGAUGUGGGAAGGCCCAGACAGCCAGGAUGUUGGCUUAGAAGCAGCCAUCAUUUAAAGAAAGCGUAAUAGCUCACUGGUCGAGUCGGCCUGCGCGGAAGAUGUAACGGGGCUAAACCAUGCACCGAAGCUGCGGCAGCGACGCUUAUGCGUUGUUGGGUAGGGGAGCG
rnacentral:rRNA from 1 species